rnacentral:rRNA from 1 species
GGGCGUAAGGGCUCGCAGGCGGUUUUUUAAGUCUGAAUGUGAAAGCCCCCCGGCUUAACCGGGGAGGGUCAUUGGAAACUGGGGAACUUGAGUGCAGAAGAGGAGAGUGGAAUUCCACGUGUAGCGGUGAAAUGCGUAGAGAUGUGGAGGAACACCAGUGGCGAAGGCGACUCUCUGGUCUGUAACUGACGCUGAGGAGCGAAAGCGUGGGGAGCGAACAGGAUUAGAUACCCUGGUAGUCCACGCCGUAAACGAUGAGUGCUAAGUGUUAGGGGGUUUCCGCCCCUUAGUGCUGCAGCUAACGCAUUAAGCACUCCGCCUGGGGAGUACGGUCGCAAGACUGAAACUCAAAGGAAUUGACGGGGGCCCGCACAAGCGGUGGAGCAUGUGGUUUAAUUCGAAGCAACGCGAAGAACCUUACCAGGUCUUGACAUCCUCUGACAAUCCUAGAGAUAGGACGUCCCCUUCGGGGGCAGAGUGACAGGUGGUGCAUGGUUGUCGUCAGCUCGUGUCGUGAGAUGUUGGGUUAAGUCCCGCAACGAGCGCAACCCUUGAUCUUAGUUGCCAGCAUUCAGUUGGGCACUCUAAGGUGACUGCCGGUGACAAACCGGAGGAAGGUGGGGAUGACGUCAAAUCAUCAUGCCCCUUAUGACCUGGGCUACACACGUGCUACAAUGGACAGAACAAAGGGCAGCGA